GAAAUGCGAUAAGUAAUGUGAAUUGCAGAAUUCAGUGAAUCAUCGAAUCUUUGAACGCACAUUGCGCCCGCCAGUAUUCUGGCGGGCAUGCCUGUUCGAGCGUCAUUUCAACCAUCAAGCCCCAGCGCUUGUGUUGGGGACCCGCGGCUCGUCCGCGGACCCUUAAAGACAGUGGCGGUUCUCGCUGCAGCACCGAGCGUAGUAGCAUACACCUCGCCCUGGGAGCUGCGCGUGCGCCCGCCGUAAAACCCCCCACCUCUCACAAGGUUGACCUCGGAUCAGGUAGGAAUACCCGCUGAACUUAA
rnacentral:misc_RNA from 1 species